CAGUAGCCACGGUAAUACGGUGGGUGCAAGCGUUAAUCGGAAUUACUGGGCGUAAAGCGCACGCAGGCGGUCUGUCAAGUCAGAUGUGAAAUCCCCGGGCUUAACCUGGGAACUGCAUUUGAAACUGGCAGGCUAGAGUCUUGUAGAGGGGGGUAGAAUUCCAGGUGUAGCGGUGAAAUGCGUAGAGAUCUGGAGGAAUACCGGUGGCGAAGGCGGCCCCCUGGACAAAGACUGACGCUCAGGUGCGAAAGCGUGGGGAGCAAACAGGAUUAGAUACCCGUGUAGUCCCUGUCUCUUAUAC
rnacentral:rRNA from 1 species